UUUCUAUGAUGAAUCAGACUAGCUCACUAUGACUUAAAUAAUGAGAAGAUUUGAACACCUGAGAAAC
ensembl:snoRNA SNORD29 Small nucleolar RNA SNORD29